rnacentral:rRNA from 1 species
AUUGAACGCUGGCGGCAGGCCUAACACAUGCAAGUCGAGCGAGCGGCGGACGGGUGAGUAAUGUAUGGGGACUGCCCGAUAGAGGGGGAUAACUACUGGAAACGGUAGCUAAUACCGCAUACUAUCGGAUAACCCAUAUGGGAUUAGCUAGUAGGUGAGGUAAUGGCUCACCUAGGCGACGAUCCCUAGCUGGUCUGAGAGGAUGAUCAGCCAAACUGGGACGGGGACACGGCCCAGAUUCCAACGGAGUAAGCAGUGGGAAAUAUUGCACAAUGGGCGAAAGCCUGAUGCAGCCAUGCCGCGUGUAUGAAGAAGGCCUUAGGGUUGUAAGGUACUUUCAGUCGGUAGGCGUUACCGGAAGAAGAAGCACCGGCUAACUCCGUGCCAGCAGCCGCGGUAAUAC